GACGUAGGGGGCCAGCGUUGCUCGGAAUUACUGGGCGUAAAGGGUUCGUAGGCGGUGCGGCGAGUCGGGAGUGAAAUCUCUGGGCUUAACUCAGGGGCUGCUUCCGAAACUGCCGUGCUAGAGUGUGAGAGAGGCGAGUGGAAUUGCGGGUGUAGCGGUGAAAUGCGUAGAUAUCCGCAGGAACAUCCGAGGCGAAAGCGGCUCGCUGGAUCACAACUGACGCUGAGGGACGAAAGCUAGGGGAGCAAACAGG
rnacentral:rRNA from 1 species